UCCCACCCUCCGGAUCCAAUCCGGAUCGACGCGGAGAGGGGAGGGCGACGGGGCACGGGGCGCAGCUGGCGGCGCGCGGAGAGGGGCGGGUGACGGCGCCGCGCACCGGCGGCGAGCUUGUCCUCCGCCGCCUUCUCACCAGUAAGCCGCCGCCCUCGUCUUCCUUGCCUUCUUCUCUCCCCAGUGCUAGGUUCUUGCUUGGGUUCCCGGUGAGGAGCAUCCCAACGAAGGGGGGCGACGAGGCCGAGAGGCGCGGUGGCAGCGGCAGCGCCGGCGCCGUGCUCCCACCCUCCACUGCCAUUGGUGAUGGCCUCUGAUGAUUUGGGGAGUGUUCUUGGGGUGGAUCUAAUGGGACUGGGAGUGAGGACUGGAUCUCUGACGAUGCAGUGGCCUUUGUUUGCUAUGGCUGACGCGCAGUUUAGGUUCCCGCCACCUUUGGUUGCAGUGAUUGUUGUCAGCCUCCUCCCGAGGGUCGCCAUAUGUAUUGUGUAAGCAAAAGUUUCAAGGGUAUUGUUUAAUCAUGCUACCAAAUACACUAAUGUCUUGUUGCCUGAUGCCUAUCAGAUGAAAUAAAGGUACUAUCAUACUCUCUUCAAUUGAAGAACCACACUGCAUUUUUCCUCUUCGCAAUGCAUUACUGAUCCCUUUCUGAGUUGGAACUCCAUUUUCAGAAAUAAACAAGGAAGCUAUAGUACUACUGCAUCACAGUUCAUUGGUUAAACUGAUUGGAACAUCACUUAUCAUUGGAGUAUCUAUAACACACUUGAGAAAUCUGUGCAGACCGUCUACAAUAAUACAGUUACUUAGUUAUGGUUCAGAGACUUCAUCAGAUCAAAUUCACAUGUAAAUAGCAGCCUUAAAGUUGGGACCAUCUAAGUAGCAGCCUUAUACCUUGUAAGAAAACUUUUAAGUAACAGCCUAUGGAAAUUUGAAUGUGUAGCUGAAAGUUGGGACUUUUGAACUUUGAUGUCCCGUUACUCUUCAGAAUUUUAGCAAAGUAUAUUCCUGUUAAUCAAACCUGAAGCUACUAGUAGGAGUUAACUAGAUCUCCAUAUGUCUACCCGAUGCUUGCUGAUUACCUGGCAUAUUUUGUGGUGUGCAUUUAAUUGUUUGCCUUUGUACAAAACAAUGUGGCAACUGAUGCUAGGAUUUAGCUAAUUAGGUCUGCUGUGUCAUGCUAAAAAUUAAUGUAUUAGCACUGUUCUCCGGUUCUGUGUCUUUAGAAGUUCAAUUUGAAAUUGCUUUUGGCAAUGCAUAUUCCUUUUGAAGACAUCCAUGUCUCACUCUCAAGAUGCCAUGAUACCUGUAUGUUGAGUCGGAUCAUACCUAUAUGGUACUGACAUUCUGAGUGUUGUGUCUUCAGGAUGAGAAAUAUUCAUAUUGCUUUUUUGGCAAUGCAUAUUGCUUUGUAACUAGAAAUAUUCAUUUCUGGUGGUCCUUUAUACUUGUAUACUUGUAUACAUUGUUUAGAUAGCUGAUUUUACCUUUUGUCACUUGGCAACCCAGGGUCUUGAGUGAUAUUUUCAGUUAGAUGCAUUGGCCUGUCCCUGUAUUUGCUUUUGUUGUUACUAGCUUGAGUGAUGGUUCACUGAACUACUGGUGAGAUAUGUGUGAACACGCUAGAAGGAUUGAAAUCCUAGUCUUGGAUUAAGACACAUUCUGCUGGUAAGCUGAAAGUGCAACGCCCUAGUUCUGUUUUGCUGCUAAUUGCAUGAUGUGUCUAAUUCCUAAGUCUGAUUUACCUCUGAGGUUAAACUAUUGUUACAACAUGCGAGGACAUAUUAUGAGCUGCUUGUUCACCUGUAUGACAGGUAAUGAGAUGCCUUGGUAUGAGGAGUAUGCACGACAUGCAAGGCUAUACACUGGUAUCCAUGCGCUCAAGCCUAAGAACAAGUCGAAGGAGCUAUUUCUGAGUCAACCACAGCUCUAAAUGUGGGUCAAUCCAAUAUUGUUCUCGGUGAGAACACACCUUUGGCAUCACCAGCGAUAUCUACCUCUGCUGUGGCGAAAGCAGGUUCUUCUAGGGUAUGUACUUAGCCAAUCAUUCUUGAAGUUUUGCUUGCUGGGAUGGGAAAACCUUCCUCACACAUUGCUACUGUAUUUCACCAACUUCCUCGCAUCUUCUGAAGGCUGCAACCACAUAGUGAUCUGCAACUCUCAGAGUACUACCAGAACACCAUAAGUUAUGAGCAUUGUGUGCUCCUUUGUCUUUGGGCCAUGCCUGCCUGCCUUGGCAGCAGUAGAAAGUGAAUGGGUGGAUGGAUGGUGCUGUGCUGGAUGGAGUAAUCACAUACUAUAUAGUUUGCUGCAAAUACUAUAUAUUUUGCAUACUUUGAGUCUCUCUAGUUUGCUGA